GUAAACUGACAACUUCGGUAAACGUGACCCUACAGUACAAUCCCCAGAGCUUCCGAUGAGAGGACAGAGGUCUCCCAGGUAAGGGAGUCCUGGAGGGCACACCGGGCUUUGCAGAGGCCAGUACGCUCCAGAGGAGGCCGUGACCUGGGCUCCGUCCGUUACUGGUUGAGGAAAUCAGUAUUUUCAUUCCCCGAGAAGGUUCUAUCCACUUGACACUUCCACUUCCGCUCCCCAGAGAAUUUCCCCUUAGUCAGAGAAUGCAUAACAAAUGGGAGCUGAGGUUUCUCUGGAAUAAAGGUUGCCCUGCUUUCCCCACAUGAGUGAUUCAUGGCAAAGCCUCCAAUGACCACAGAGAGAAAGGAUGUGGCGAUUCGCCUGGAUACCGUGUGCCCAGCGCAGCAACGCAAGCCAGCGGCUGCAAAGAGCUUCCCUUCCCGGACCCGCGCGACGGUGCAUGAAACUCGUGGGCGGAAGUCAUCACAGGACCCCGCGUGCACUCGGCCGGGGACUAUUUUGGUGUCCCCAGAACCUCGGAUUAUUGCUAAGGCGUGAACAGUUCUGGAACGCCUCCUCAUCCCUCAAGACGCGGCCAGCCCACCCCACGUUUGACUUGAAACAUAAACUACUUGGAAAGACAAGGCCCUCGUGAUUGUUACAGGGGCACAAAGCAUUCCCGACGGAGGCACACCUGUGGGUCAUCUGGAACUUUCGAAGCGGCAACGCGUUUCCCAUCUCUAAAGGGGCCAAAAGUGGAGAACGGCGCCCACGGUGCCCUGUGGGUAAGCGACGGGUCCAGGGCACAGGCACCCACGCUUAGAACCCCACCAGGAUGUCUUUUUCAGAAAACGGUUUCCUGAAAAAAAGCCAUCUGCCAAAAACUUUCCCAUCCGUUAUAUUAAAUGUGAAAGGUGUCGUCCUGGUGUUUCUGAGCGCUGAGUAACGAGCCCAUCGAAAGAGGGAUUUGAGUCCUUCUUCGAACUUUCCAAAGUUUUUUGAGCCUUUUUUAGGGGUCAGUGAAGAUUGUUUUUGUUUUGUUUUGUUUUAAACUCUCAGAGACAAAAAGUUACAUUUGCCCCAAGUUUAAUGAACGCAAAAGCCCAGGAAGUCGGGUUUCUGUUUAAAUCUGUUAAAGCCCAGGAAGUCGGGUUUCUGUUUAAAUCCGCCUAGAUUCCUGCUGGUCCCCACGAGAAAGCCUGCAGGGGAGGGGAGAAGAUACAAUUAUGAGGUCUCUGAGGCAAGAGCUACAAAAGCUUGAUAUUCAGAUUUUCUCUCAAGCAACCAAGUGUUGAAAGGAGGAGUGAUUCGCAAAGUUGAGAUUUUUUUCAAUGCAGCUGGCAAAGGGACGUCUGCCCUGGCG
rnacentral:lncRNA from 9 species